rnacentral:rRNA from 1 species
GUCCACGCCGUAAACGAUGGAUACUAGCUGUUGGGAGCGAUCUCAGUGGCUAAGCGAAAGUGAUAAGUAUCCCACCUGGGGAGUACGUUCGCAAGAAUGAAACUCAAAGGAAUUGACGGGGGCCCGCACAAGCGGUGGAGCAUGUGGUUUAAUUCGAUGAUACGCGAGGAACCUUACCAAGGCUUAAAUGUAGAUUGACCGUUUUGGAAACAGAACUUUCGCAAGACAAUUUACAAGGUGCUGCAUGGUUGUCGU